AACGAACGCUGGCGGCAGGCCUAACACAUGCAAGUCGAGCGCCCUUUCGGGGGAGCGGCGGACGGGUGAGUAACGCGUGGGAAUAUGCCCUUCUCUACGGAAUAGCCUCGGGAAACUGAGAGUAAUACCGUAUACGCCCUCUGGGGGCAAGAUUUAUCGGGGAAGGAUUAGCCCGCGUUGGAUUAGGUAGUUGGUGGGGUAAUGGCCUACCAAGCCGACGAUCCAUAGCUGGGUUGAGAGUAUGAUCAGCCACACUGGGACUGGGACACGGCCCAGACUCCUACGGGAGGCAGCAGUGGGGAAUCUUAGACAAUGGGGGCAACCCUGAUCUAGCCAUGCCGGGUGAGUGAUGAAGGCCUUAGGGUUGUAAAGCUCUUUCAGCUGGGAAGAUAAUGACGGUACCAGCAGAAGAAGCCCCGGCUAACUCCGUG
rnacentral:rRNA from 1 species